GGAGGGAUGUCUGAGUGGUUUAUAGAACCGGUCUUGAAAACCGGCGUGCCGCAAGGUACCGGGGGUUCGAAUCCCUCUCCCUCCGCCA
rnacentral:tRNA from 1 species